UGGGGAAUAUUGCACAAUGGGCGCAAGCCGGAUGCAGCAACGCCGCGGGAACGAUGAAGGGCUUCGGAUCGUAAAGUUCUGUUGCAGGGGAAGAUAAUGACGGUACCCUGUGAGGAAGCCCCGGCGAACUACGUGCCAGCAGCCGCGGGAAUACGUAGGGGGCUAGCGUUAUCCGGAUUUACUGGGCGUAAAGGGUGCGUAGGUGGUCUUUCAAGUCGGUGGUUAAAGGCUACGGCUCAACCGUAGUUAGCCUCCGAAACUGGAAGACUUGAGUGCAGGAGAGGAAAGUGGAAUUCCCAGUGUAGCGGUGAAAUGCGUAGAUAUUCGGAGGAACACCAGUAGCGAAGGCGGCUUUCUGGACUGCAACUGACACUGAGGCACGAAAGCGUGGGUAGCAAACAGG
rnacentral:rRNA from 1 species